UCCAAUAGCGUAUAUUAAAGUUGUUGCAGUUAAAAAGCUCGUAGUUGAAUUUCGGGGUUAGUAGGUUGGUCAUGCCUCUGGUAUGUACUGGCCUCACUGAUUCCUCCUUCCUGAUGAACCGUAAUGCCAUUAAUUUGGUGUUGCGGGGAAUUUGGACUGUUACUUUGAAAAAAUUAGAGUGUUUAAAGCAAGCUAACGCUUGAAUACAUUAGCAUGGAAUAAUGAAAUAGGACGUUCGAUCCUAUUUUGUUGGUUUCUAGGAUUGACGUAAUGAUUAAUAGGGAUAGUUGGGGGCAUUAGUAUUCAAUUGUCAGAGGUGAAAUUCUUGGAUUUAUUGAAGACUAACUACUGCGAAAGCAUUUGCCAAGGAUGUUUUCAUUAAUCAAGAACGAAAGUUAGGGGAUCGAAGACGAUCAGAUACCGUCGUAGUCUUAACCAUAAACUAUGCCGACUAGGGAUCGGAUGAUGUUAAUUUUUUAAUGACUCAUUCGGCGCCUUACGGGAAAC
rnacentral:rRNA from 1 species